ensembl:lncRNA
AUGAUCCUUUCUUCCUUUGCUGGAAUGCUUCUGGUAAGGAUAAGUAACCAGUUUCAACAACAUUUGUGUUUUUGUCCACAAGCCAUAUCAUUGUUCUCUUAUUUUCAGAACAGCUUACCUAUAGAAGACAUUCUGUCACUGUACAAUUGCAAACCAGUGGCAUCUUACCCUCAUAAUCAUGCUAAGGGCAACAUUGUUCACCCAUUCUCCCUCUCUUAUCAUCCAUUUGCUAUGCUCAGUUCAUUCAAAGCAGUAGACCAUUCAAGAAAACACACCCAGGUACUGAAACGCUGGAUCAAGGAACACCGUAAACAGGAGGUCUCUCCAGUAAUAGAGAAACUGGAGUCCUCCUCCACCUCCUCUUCUAGCUCCUCAUUUAGUGUGAGUGUCGGUCAGCUGUUCCUCACAUUUUACCCAAUCUGUUAUGACCAAUACACUCAGUAAUAUAAUGUACUGAAAAAGUAAAAAAUUACUGGCAUCAUGUGCUCAGAUUGUGUACUAGAAUUUUUGCACCUAUAUUUUGUGUUGAAUACAGGAUAGCGAGGACUCCUUAAAAGAUGAAACCGCAAACUAUGAAGGCUCGCAAGAAUCUCUGCAGGACUGAAAACAGCAGCCGUAUAACAAGCAAAUAUUCAUUUUCGUUGUUUUUUUAAACACAUGUAACAUUAUUUCAGGUUUAUCCUUAUUGUUAAAACAUUAGUUCUUUCCUGAGACUUUGUUCACAACCACACUGUAAAAAAAUCAAAAUUUGAGAAAACUUUAAAGUUUAAGGCAACCAGCUUCAGCAGAUUUUUCAGAGUUUUCUCAACUUAUUUUUGUAGGAGAUUUGAGUUUUCUCAACUUUUUGUUGUAUAAAUUGAAAACAAAAAGUUUAUUUUAUAAAUACCAAUAAUACUUUUUACAGACUUUCUUAGUAUUGCUCCAAAGUAUUCAUACAUAGCGUUAUUUUAGAAAUAGAAGGUGUGAAUAAUAAGUAAUUUGCCCAUGCAUUUUCAUUUUACAUGUGAAAGAAGACUCCAUGUUAAGUUUACAAUAAUCAAUAAAAUUCUUGAACUAUUACUUUCUGAACUCUGC